rnacentral:rRNA from 1 species
GCGACCACGUGAGUGUAAGCGAAUCCCAAAAUAACGUCUCAGUUCGGAUUGUAGUCUGCAACUCGACUACAUGAAGCUGGAAUCGCUAGUAAUCGCGAAUCAGAAUGUCGCGGUGAAUACGUUCCCGGGCCUUGUACACACCGCCCGUCAAGCCAUGGGAGCCGGGGGUACCUGAAGUGCGUGACCGCAAGGAGCGCCCUAAGGUAAAACCGGUGACUGGGGCUAAGUCGUAACAAGGUAUC